UAAUUUACAAAAAAAAAAAAUUUGAAAAAUAUAUGUAAAUCUAUAGAGAGUUUCUAAUUAUUAUAGAGAGAAGAAAGACAAGUUUUUAAAACUGUUUUUAAAACUUGUUGAUUUUAAAUCCGUGAUAUUGAGGCUUUAGAAAAAAAAAAUUAAAGAAGGAAACAAAAAAUGUUGCUUUUAGGACUUAAAAAAAAUAAAAGUAAAAAAAUCUUGAUUGGCAAAAAUAAAACUGUUAAGACUUUAAAAUGGUUUUAAAGCCUUAAAAGUCGCAACCAGUCGGCCCCUAAAUUUUAAAAUAUGUACCUUGAGACUCGUUCUUCUGUGUUCUCUGCCAACCGCUUGUUCAAGACAUAACUAAAAGCUACCACAACCUUCUGAAUCUUCAAUAGAUCAGUAAUGAGUUCAGUGGCUAGACUUUCACACAGCUAUGCCUUCAACCCAAGUAAUGCAAACCAAACAUGAAUAGGCAGCUGAAAUAUCUUUUGGAGAGUGCAGGAUCAAGAGUGUUUUAAACCCUUUUUUUUUUUUAACGUAGUACCUUUGGAGCUUCAAUUAAACAGUCAAGCCAAGCCUUCUCUCAGAAUAUUGAUUUUUGACUGAGCUUCUGGUAAACCUUCUAAUAUAUAACUUGACUUCUCAACAACUGCCCUCCUGGAUCCCUUCAGCAACUUCUUGAUGGAUGUGAUUCUCACAAUUUCCAAACUAUUGAAGCUCACCCUUAACA
rnacentral:lncRNA from 1 species